rnacentral:lncRNA from 1 species
UCGGGUCCGAACCUACACAGGUGGACUCAAAUGAGGGACCAAACAUGCUAGAACAUAACUCUAAACUACUCCCCAAAAACCUCCUAAAACAUCCUGAAAAUAUCACAUAGAGAUAUGCAUGAAAUGGCUGAACAGGGCACUUUCGGCGGCACCUUCGGCGGCCGAAAGUCCUGGACAGAUCCUAAAGUCAGGCACUUUCGGCGGCACCUUCGGCGGCUGAAAGUCCCAGACAGAGACGAAAGUCUCUUUUCGGGGGCAACUUCGGCAGCCGAAUACUGCCUCCACAAAGGGGGUUCGGCGGCCGAAAACACUCAUGUCCUCUGUCUGUCUUAACUGCUCAAACUCAAUCAUCUUCAUUUCUCUUGAACUAUCAGGGAAAGCCCAUCCUGCAAAUUCAUUAGCAAACUCUUCCCAUGUAAUACGGUCCACCCUCGGUUUCACAUAGCUCUUGAACCACUCAUGGGCCUUCUUGCAUUUUAGAGUGAACCCUGCCAUCUGAAUGGCUCUACUGUCAUCUGCUCCCAUCUCAUCUGUUAUUGUUUUGACCUUCUCCAGAUACACAAACGGGUCAUCACCUGUUUCAAACUGGGGAGCACCCAACUUCAUAUAAUCAGUCAUCUUCACCUUGCUCCCUCCAGACGAACUAGGGUUAGGGUCUUGAUUUGUUUGGACAGUAGGUGCUGCUGGUGGUGGAGGAGGUGCAGCAUCCCCUGGGGUAGGGUUUGCUGGAUUUGGAUAGUAGGAUGGGGGUGGGUACAUUUGGUACUGUGGGUAUGGUGGGUAGUAUGGUGGGUAUGGCAUCUGUGUGGGGUAAGGGCUAAAGCUAUCCGAUGUACCUCCCAUCGAAUACCCGAGAUUAUGUGGAAAGGGUGGGUACUAGGGUAGCUGAACAAAUCCCGAGGCCUGAGUGCCUCCUUGGGACUCUCCCAUACCCUCUUCUGACAUACUAACACCCAGACUGUCAUCCCUCCUCUGCUCUACCUCCAUAUCAUCAGACAUUCCCCCUUGAACCGUUCCCCUCACUGAUCCGCUUCUACCCAGAUCCAGAGACCUUCUAGGGUCUCUUACUGCCCUUUCCCUGCUCGACCUGCUAGACAUUGCCCUAGGCAAUGCUGGAGGACGGGCGCUCAUGCCCUCAUCCUCGGGUGGCACUCCAGUCAAUCUUGCAGAUCGACGAGUUCCUCUCAUCCUGUUUUCUGAAAAACAGUACACAUAGCACAAACAUUAGCAUCAUAUGGUUCAUGUGGGCACACAUGAACCCUCAUCACAUACAUCACAUAACAGUCAUAACAUUAAUACACAUGCAUAUUGUCAUGGCAUUUCACAUCAUCAAACAAGACAGGACUCCACAUCCUAUCCUAGUGGACAUGAUCUUCCCUAUUGUGCUUGACCUUCUCUAACAUCUAUGAGCCCGACACUAUCUAGGUCCGACCAUAUGAACCUAGGGCUCUGAUACCACUCUGUAACGACCCGAAAAUUCGGACCGUUACCGGCGCUAGGAUCCAGAUCGGCAUAAGGCCGCCGGGAACCGUAGCAAGCCUGGCAUAGCCUGAAAACCUGUUUAAUCCCAUACAUGAUCAACAAUACUCAUAAACCUGUAAACAUUCUCAUACAUCAACCAGCUCAACUUAAACAUUAUCAUAAACAUAAACAUAAACCUCCACUGGAGCCCUCAUCAAAUGCUCCGAUGGGGUAUCUCAUACAUACAUUGAGCCUGGUCAAACAUAACCAUCAUAAGAAAACUAUGGAUCAUGUAUCAAGGGAUAAUAUACACAUAUGGUCAAGCACAACUCUAAUCCUCGUCAUCAUACUCAUUACAUUACAUGACUUUAGAACCUUACAUUCUCAUUACAUUACAAUCUAUCAUGUCCACAACUACUAGCUAUUACAUGAGAGCAUCUUUACCCUUGCUAAUCUCUUGGUCUACCUUGUACCUGCACACCUGGGGGUUAAGGGAAUGGGGUGAGCUACAAGAGCCCAGUGAGCAGAAUAAUAAAACAUUAUAUCUUAAAAUUUCAUGCUUUCAUGAAAUGCGUCACAUCACAAACAAUUCACAUCAUGGAUGAACUUGUCACCAUAUAGCCCUCCAUACAAUCUAAUUAUGCCAGGGGCGUAGAGCAGGCUCGCCUGGACUUCCAUGUCAUAUCAUAUAUACCAAUUAUGCCGGGGGCGUAGAGCAGGCACACCCGGACUUCCAUAGAAUGAUGCCAGGGGCGUAGAGCAGGCUCGCCUGGACUUCCAUGCCUAGUACAUAAGGGCUAACGGAUCAUUCAACAUUCAUCCGCAUCAAACAGCAUAAAGUGCAAUGCAACAUCUUCGUGAGAUCUAAUGCAAGCAACCUAUAAUAUCGCAUGGUAGUCAUGAUGCAUGAGCAU